rnacentral:pre_miRNA from 15 species
CUACCAGUAUUAGCCUCUGGCACCUGAAAAGAAGUUGCCCAUGUUAUUUUCGCUUUAUAUGUGACGAAACAAACAUGGUGCACUUCUUUUUCGGUACCAACUCUCACCCUGAAGAGCU